AAUCCUGAGUAAAGUGGCGUACGGGUGAGUAACACGUGGAUUAUCUACCUCUUUGUGGGGAAUAACUUUGGGAAACCGAAGCUAAUACCGCAUAAGCUCGUGAGAGGAAAGCAGCAAUGCGCAGAGAGAGGAGUCCGCGGUCGAUUAGCUAGUUGGCGGGGUAACGGCCCACCAAGGCUAUGAUCGAUAGCCGGCCUGAGAGGGCACACGGCCACACUGGCACUGAAACACGGGCCAGACUCCUACGGGAGGCAGCAGUGGGGAAUCUUGCACAAUGGGGGAAACCCUGAUGCAGCGACGCCGCGUGGGUGAUGAAGUCCUUCGGGAUGUAAAGCCCUUUCGACAGGAACGAUAAUGACGGUACCUGGAGAAGAAGCUGCGGCUAACUACGUGCCAGCAGCCGCGGUAAUACGUAGGCAGCAAGCGUUGUUCGGAGUUACUGGGCGUAAAGAGUAUGUAGGCGGUUGGGUAAGUUUGGUGUGAAAUCUCCCGGCUUAACUGGGAGGGUGCGCCGAAAACUGCCUGGCUCGAGUGCGGGAGAGGGGGGCGGAAUUCCUGGUGUAGCGGUGAAAUGCGUAGAUAUCAGGAGGAACACCUGCGGUGUAGACGGCUCCCUGGACCGUGACUGACGCUGAGAUACGAAAGCGUGGGUAGCAAACAGGAUUAGAUACCCUGGUAGUCCACGCCCUAAACGAUGCAUACUUGGUGUUGGCCAUUCACUUGGUCAGUGCCGGAGCUAACGCGUUAAGUAUGCCGCCUGGGGAGUACGGUCGCAAGGCUGAAACUCAAA
rnacentral:rRNA from 1 species